GAUGAACGCUAGCUACAGGCUUAACACAUGCAAGUCGAGGGGAAACGACAUCGAAAGCUUGCUUUUGAUGGGCGUCGACCGGCGCACGGGUGAGUAACGCGUAUCCAACCUGCCCACCACUUGGGGAUAACCUUGCGAAAGUAAGACUAAUACCCAAUGAUAUCCCACGAAGGCAUCCGAAUGGGAUUAAAGAUUUAUCGGUGAUGGAUGGGGAUGCGUCUGAUUAGCUUGUUGGCGGGGUAACGGCCCACCAAGGCAACGAUCAGUAGGGGUUCUGAGAGGAAGGUCCCCCACAUUGGAACCUGAGACACGGUCCAAACUCCUACGGGAGGCAGCAGUGAGGAAUAUUGGUCAAUGGGCGGAAGCCUAAACCAGCCAAGUAGCGUGCAGGAUGACGGCCCUAGGGUUGUAAACUGCUUUUAGGCGGGGUAAAGGGCGACGCGUUCCGCUUUUGCAAGUACCG
rnacentral:rRNA from 1 species